CGCUUGGAUCAGCGAGAGAGCUAGUUCGCAGCGCCAUCUAGUGGUCGGCACCGUAAGGGCCGUGGUAGACCAAACACCCUCUAUGGGCUAGGUCGGGGAGAUCACGAAAAGUGGCAUAGGAAGAGUGAUAGAGUUAACAGCUUGGAUUGUCAACUUUCUCUGGCAUUUCACCCUGUCCUUUGAGAGGGCCCGAGGGCUGUAGCUUGUUGAGGGGCUUGGCUUCGGUCUCUUCCCGUUUUGGCGCUCGACCAGAGCGUUCGUUUUCUCUGUCAACAGCCAACAAGUAUUUUUUUAUAAGUGCUAAAAAGGGAAAAAACGUGUAAUCGCGGCGGGAGGAGAAGAGCUUCAGCAUUCCGGCAUUAGUUUUCCAGCCUAGGACCGGCCAUUGGCGCAGUGGAUACCGCAAAGGAGGAGCGCCGCAUCGCCGUAUUUUCUUUGCAAAGCGGCCCGGAUCAGCUUCGCGGAUCCAAAGACGCGAGGCGUCGAGGAGAUCGAGCGUCCAAGGGACGCCAGAAGGGGUCCAGAGGAGCAGCCAAAGCAGCGUUGGGAAAAAUUGCAGGCCCAAGUACACGGGCACCGACGCCACGCUAGCGGGAGUUGAGUGGUUUUUGGGGAAGAAGGAAAAAAAAACUCAAUCGUCUUGUUGAAAAGCGAGCCAAGGCAGGGCUAUAUAGCGCAGCUAGAGCGAAAGCAAGAGCAGUCCGAGAUCUGGCGGGGUCUUUCGAGUGGUCUCGCGAGUGAUUUUUAUCGUCGGGAACCGUCCCAGGGAACGAUGGAGUGAUUUCGGAAGGGAGAAAAUCUAAAACUAAAAGAAACCGGGAAUGGCUGAGAUCUCUAGUAAUAAUAGGAUUCAGUGUUAAGUGAUUAGUGUUAAUAAUUUAAUGAGUUAAGUAAUAUUUCUUUGUUAGUUUUUUUGUGCGUUAAAGUCUGCGACAGUCGGCGAAGGGCAGGCGAAAGAAAA